GAGUUUGAUCAUGGCUCAGAUUGAACGCUGACGGCAGGCUUAACACAUGCAAGUCGAACGGAAGUUACUAGCUUGCUAGUAACUUUAGUGGCGAACGGGUGAGUAACAUUUAGGAAUCUGCCUCAUAACGGGGGAUAGCUCGGGGAAACUCGAAUUAAUACCGCAUACACCCUACGGGGGAAAGGUGGCGCAAGCUGCCGAUAUGAGAUGAGCCUAAAUCAGAUUAGCUAGAUGGUGGGGUAAAGGCCUACCAUGGCGACGAUCUGUAACUGGUCUGAGAGGAUGAUCAGUCACACCGGAACUGAGACACGGUCCGGACUCCUACGGGAGGCAGCAGUGGGGAAUAUUGGACAAUGGGCGAAAGCCUGAUCCAGCCAUGCCGCGUGUGUGAAGAAGGCCAUAAGGUUGUAAAGCACUUUAAGCAGGGAGGAAGAACUUUUAGUUAAUAGCUAAAAGUGGUGAC
rnacentral:rRNA from 1 species